rnacentral:rRNA from 1 species
UACGAAGGGGGCUAGCGUUGCUCGGAAUCACUGGGCGUAAAGGGUGCGUAGGCGGAUCUUUAAGUCAGGGGUGAAAUCCUGGAGCUCAACUCCAGAACUGCCUUUGAUACUGAGGAUCUCGAGUUCGGGAGAGGUGAGUGGAACUGCGAGUGUAGAGGUGAAAUUCGUAGAUAUUCGCAAGAACACCAGUGGCGAAGGCGGCUCACUGGCCCGAUACUGACGCUGAGGCACGAAAGCGUGGGGAGCAAA